CUCGCGCCAGUGUGGGGGAGAGGAGCAGUGUCCCAAUCUCCCGCCCAACUCCCCCCACUCCCUCCUCAGCUUCCAAAGGUCAGAAGGCGCCUGCAGCUCUGGGUGGAGAUUCGAACAUUAUUAUUGCGGUGUUUUGUUGUUGUUGUUGUUGUUUUUUAAUGGGCACCAGCAGGUCUGAAGAGGGAGUGAAGGGAAUGGGACGACCCAGGAUGAUUUCCCCGCACAACAGCGCCCCCCACUUUGCGACCCUCAGGUUGCCACGGCCUAGAGCUCCGCUGGAGCAGGGCGUGACCCUUCAACCUUCCAGCCGGAGGCGACCUUCGCACCCGAGACCACCGCGAGGCCGCCGGGCCCUGCUCUCCCCGAAAGGCUCUGCAUUGUUCAGAGAACCAACUUCUCCAGGCUUCGAGAGUGUCCUCGAAAUGGCCCUCCUCUUGUUUCCAAUCUAGGAAAUUGGCCCCUCGCCCCAGGAGGCCCGAAGCGGGAGGAUAAACGGCGUCUCCAUCCCAUCCCCACCGUCACACGGCGGCAACACCCAGCCUGACUCAUGGAGUCAUGGAGGCCAGCAGGCCGGAUGCUGUUGCCUCUUUUAAACCCUACCGACAGGCCCAGUCGUAGAGAACCAGCCCCACGGCAUCAAAAUUAUCCAGAAGUGCUCUCCCCACUGCAACACGUAGGAAGAAUGUCUGCGCUGCCAGGAUAGGGCAACAUUCCAGAAUCUCAGGGAUUAUUAUUUUCCUUGGACACUCUCCGCAGUGAUUCAGCAGUGAAAGGGAGCAAUGUCAGCAGAUGGAGCCUGGAGAUGGAUCAGAACCAGUUUGUCUGACUUUGGCUAAUACUGUUUUACCAAA